rnacentral:rRNA from 1 species
UACAGAGGGCCCAAGCGGUGUUCGGAUUCACUGGGCGUAAAGGGUGCGUAGGUGGUGAGGUAAGUGUGAUGUGAAAUCUCCGGGCUCAACCCGGAAAUGGCAUUGAAUACUAUCUUGCUAGAGGAGUGGAGGGGGGACUGGAAUACUUGGUGUAGCAGUGAAAUGCGUAGAUAUCAAGUGGAACACCAGUGGCGAAGGCGAGUCCCUGGACACUUCCUGACACUGAGGCACGAAGGUCAGGGGAGCAAACGGG